rnacentral:rRNA from 1 species
UUGACGUUACUACCAGAAGAGGCACGGAUAAUUCCGGCCAGCAGCCGCGUAAUACGGAGGUGCAAGCGUUUAUUGAAAUUACUGGGCGUAAGCGCACGCAGGGGUUCUUCAAGUCGGAUGAAAAUCCCCGGGUCUCAAAACCGGGAGAGUGCAUGGAAAUUGGCAGGCUAGAGUCUUGUAGAGAGAGGUAGAAUUCCCAGGUGUAGCGGUGAAAUGCGUAGAGAUCUGGAGGACAUACCGGUGGCGAAGGCGGCCUCCAGUACAUAAGACUGACGUUCAGGUGCGAUAGCGUGGGAGAGCAACCAGGAUUAGAUACCCUGGUAGUCCACCCGGUAAACGAUGUUGAUUUGGAGGUUGUGCCCUUGAGGCGUGGCUUCCGAGCUAACGCAUUAAAUAGUCCGCCUGGGGAGUACGGCCGCAAGGUUAAAACUCAUAUGAAUUGACGGGGGCCCGCACAAGCGGUGGAGCAUGUGGUUUAAUUCGAUGCAACGCGAAGAACCUUACCUGGUCUUGACAACCUCAGAACUUCCCAGAGAUGGGUUGUUCCCUUCGGGAACUGAGAGACAGGUGGUGCAUGGUUGUCGUCAGCUCGUGUUGUGAAAUGUUGGGUUAAGUCCCGCAACGAGCGCAACCCUUAUCCUUAGUUGCCAGCGGUUAGGCCGGGAAUUCAAAGGAGACUCCCAGUGAUAAACGGGAGGAAGGGCCCGAGGAGGUCAAGUCAUCAUCCCCCUUACGCCCAGGGUUACCCACGUGUUCCAAUGGCAUAUACAAAGGGAAGCGACCUCCCGAGAGCAAGCAAUCCUCAUAAUGUAUGUUCAGUUCCGGAUUGGGUUUGGCAAUUGGAUUCCAUGAAGUCGGAAUCGUAUAGUAAUCGUAGAUCAGAAUGCGACGGUGUACGUGUUCCGGGCCAAUUGCACACACGCGCCGUGUCACCCCAUGCAGG